UACGGGAAGGGCAAGCGUUAUUCAACAUGACUGGGCGUAAAGAGUCCGUAGACUGUGAAGUAAGUUACUUGUUAAAAUUUAAAGCUUAACUUUAAAAUAGCUUUUAAUACUGCUUUACUUGAGUUUUAUACAGAAAAAUAGAAUUUUAUACGAAAGGGUAAAAUCUAGAAAUAUAUAAAGGAAUUCCAAUAGCGAAGGCAAUUUUUUAGUAAAAACUGACGUUGAGGGACGAAAGUGUAUGUAGCAAACAGG
rnacentral:rRNA from 1 species